rnacentral:rRNA from 1 species
AUUGAACGCUGGCGGCAGGCCUAACACAUGCAAGUCGAACGAGUGGCGGACGGGUGAGUAAUGUCUGGGAAACUGCCUGAUGGAGGGGGAUAACUACUGGAAACGGUAGCUAAUACCGCAUACCAUCGGAUGUGCCCAGAGUGGAUUAGCUAGUAGGUGGGGUAAAGGCUCACCUAGGCGACGAUCCCUAGCUGGUCGGAGAGGAUGAACAGCCACACUGGAAAGUGGCCACGGUCCAGACUCCUACGGGAGGCAGCAGUGGGUAAUAUUGCCCAAUGGGCGCAAGCCUGAUGCAGCCAUGCCGCGUGUAUGAAGAAGGCCUUCGGGUUGUAAAGUACUUUCAGCGGGGAGGCGUUACCCGCAGAAGAAGCACCGGCUAACUCCGUGCCAGCAGCCGCGGUAAUUC